GAGCAAAUUGCCGGCAAAGUAUGGCUAGCCAGUUGCACCGGAGAGGUGUUGAAUUUGACAGUGUAACGGCCUUGUACAAAGAAACUAGCUACGUGGACCAGGAACAAGAUGCUAAUAUUGCAUUAUCCGAGCUUGAUAAAGAUACUUUCUUUAAGUAUCGCAUAGCGCCCUAACUCCGUCACUACCCUAACUCCGUCACUUUCGGGAAACUCCUCGCCGUUUGAAAUCAAGUUUGAGAUCAAUCAAGCUUGGAGUACAGUGUGAGGCUGUUGUGAAAUUUCCCCGAUUAUUUGAAAGAUACCCAUUUCCAAUCCUUAUCAAUUCAGCUUUCUUAAAACUUGCUGACGUGUUCAGAGUUGCUGAUGCUUUUAAAGAAGGGUGAAUAGUGAAUUCAUUUUUAAAGUUAGAAGUUACCGCAGUAGAUAGUCAUCAUGCAUGAAAUGCAAUUGUACUACCACAUUUUUUAUCUUCAUUUCUUAUAUCUUCACUUAUUUUAGGCUUAGAUCCAAAGAAAUUUUCUACUUAUACUUCUGAAUAAUAUUGGAAAGCCUUCCAUCUAUUUUAGAAACAAUUUAUUGAGAUGGUGCAUUUUGAGAGUCAUUCAGCAAUGUGAUCGGCAUCUGGACAAGGUGCUCAAUGUUGAUGAAUUUGUUAGAAGACUUUACACAGUCAUACACAGUAAUGACUCAGUUGCUCGAGCUCUCACCAUCAGAACUCUUGGCAGCAUUGCCUCUAUCAUCUCAGAGAGGAAGAAUGCCCACCACAGUGUGGUCAACGGGCUGGACUCCCAUGAUGCAGUGGAAGUGGAUGCUGCCAUAUAUGCAGCAGAUAAAUUCUCUGGCAAGUCCAAAGUUUUUGCAGCAAACAUCUGCAGUAAGAUAGCUGAGAUGAUAGAAGACAUAGCCACUCCAGUGCACCUAAAACUGCAACUGAUACCAAUUAUGAAAAACAUGUAUCAUGAUAGUUCAACUGCAGCUAAGGCUAGAGGAAUUUGUCUUCACUUAUUGUCCACUUUCCCAGCUGAGAAGUUUGUGACUUUGACCUUGGAGACCUUGACACACUUGGCAAUGAGGUCACUGGCUGACGUACACAGCCAGAUAGAACUUCUGAUUCACCAUCUCAGGACAGACCCAAGAAACAGUGUGAAAUUAACCUCCCUUAAGAAUCUCAAUUUACUGGCUAGGAAGUCCCCCCAGCUGUGGAAAUACAACUCAGUUGAGGAGUUGUUGUCCUUUGCUAUCACCUGCCCCUCCUUUCUGCUGAAGUGGGCGUGUAUUCAGGUGUUGACCUCGCUCUCCUCCUCGUUUGCCUUCCAGAUGUUCCUCAGUAGAGACAUGACAGUAUCAGACAUUCAGAAAGUUCUAGAGGUGUGCAACAUCUGCUAUCAAACCCAGAAUGCUACCCUGUCCAGUAAAGCAAUCGAAUUCUACACCAAUGUAGCUGUGGCUUACAAGAAAAGCAAGGUGUGUAUGAUUGAAGUGGAAAGAGACUUAAUAGAAGGAGCUAGACUGGCCAUUACAACACAGAUAUGUGUCUCUAUAUGGAGCAGGGAAUCUAAAGACAAGCAAGCUCUGCUGCUUUGUCUGAAAUGUCUGGUGAAUCUUGUGAAGACAUAUCAAGAGACAGGAGAAACCUUUGUGAUGGAAUUAACACAACUCCUUGAAUCUGCAUCAGAUGAUAACUGUGUCAAGCUGUGUGAGUGUUUAGCUGCUCUGGGCUCUAUCAACCAUCAGCUGAUUGAAGAAAAUCUGGGCCAACUCCUACAAGUGUACCAAAGUGUGUCCUCAAAACCAGCAUCCAAAUGUCAGCUGGAGUGCUGCUUGUAUCUUGGAACUGUCUUCUUCCAAGUGGCUGCUGGUGAAGCCAUUCCGUUGGAUGUCCAGAACCUGAUAACUCAGAGCAUUACCAAGUCCAUGGAUGACUGGUUUGGUUAUAAGCUGGGCAGGCAGGCCAUGCGUUAUGGACAGUUUCGCAUAGCAUCAGAGAUAUUUCAUAAUUUGUCCCAACAUGUAGCCUCAGAACACAACUUCUUUUGGCUGACCGGUCUGCAUGGAGUCUGUGCUGCAGAGGCCUGUGUGAACAAAUCUGACACGAGUACGAAGGCCCUGACAUCUCAGAUAUCAGAGAUGUUGGUCCUUUAUCAACAGGGACUGGUUUCUAUUAAGGCUGCCUCCACCAGUGUCGGCACAAUGGUGUUUCAGUGUGAGUAUGUGCGGCUGAGGAUCUGGCUCCUACAGACACACCAACAACUGGUUCACACCUGUAACACCUUUAGAACCUGUCCCCCUCCAGCCAUUGCCACUGCCAUGGCCGUCUCCAACAGACACGAAAUCUCCAGGGUCAGCCAGAUUCUGAAUCAGCUUGGGAAAUGUCUGAAGGAGUACGAGGGCCUGAGUGAGAAGUUUGCUGACCUUUACCAGUCGGCCUUUGAUGCAGACACCCACACCCUCCACACCAUACUGCUCUUGCAACAAAGUUGUGAAGUGAUUAAAUCAUGUAUUCUGACAUUUAUCAGAAGCAGCCAUGCCAGGUACCUGCAGUUUGGGGCUCUGUCAACUACAGACAAGGACCCACUGACUGUCACCAUACAGUCCAUACAGAGACAUCUAAACAGCAUUAUACAGAGUCAGAGCAGUGAGGGACUGACCCACCAGCAAGUUGAUUUCCUGUGUCAAUCUGUAAGGAGGCUGGUACACACUCCUUUCACCUACCCAAGGUUCUUUUUCCAAACGCUUCAGGCUACCAACAUUAAGUUAGCCAUUUCCCCUCAGCAGCUCUCUGGCCUUGACCCAGUUCAGGUUCAUAACGAGACUCAGUUAACUGUUAAGGUGGAGGGCAUCGUCCAACAUGGCCGAUACAGGGAUCUGUUCCGCAAAGUUGCCAAAGUCCAAAUAACUGCCACCUCGGAGCUUGUCAACAGGACAUCCAACUCUACUGAUCAAAAGAAUUCUUUGACAACUACCAACAAUUUGAGUCAGAGUGUAGAGCCUCACAAUGACUAUUUUUCUGUCAACUUCCUGUUGACCUUUCCAGUCACAGGGUCACAUUCUGUCCAGAUCAGAGCAGACGUUGUUGAUGAAAACGAGACUUUGUGGAAGACAGGCCCCUCCUCCUCUCUGUCAAUCAAAUCUUACGACGAUUCCAUCACCAAGAAACCUGUCAAUAAGCCAGUCAGGACAUCCUUUGGUCAAAUGCCACCUAGUGUUGCCUCCUCAUCCAGUUCUAGUAAUCAAUAAAUUGUUCAAAUUGUC
rnacentral:misc_RNA from 1 species